rnacentral:rRNA from 1 species
GACGUAGGGGGCAAGCGUUGUCCGGAAUUAUUGGGCGUAAAGCGCUCGUAGGUGGAUCGAAAAGUCUGUGAGGAAAUCCCCGGGCUCAACCUGGGAACUGCAUUUGUGACUGUAGAGCUGGAGUACGGCAGAGGGGGAUGGAAUUCCGCGUGUAGCAGUGAAAUGCGUAGAUAUGCGGAGGAACACCGAUGGCGAAGGCAAUCCCCUGGGCCUGUACUGACGCUCAUGCACGAAAGCGUGGGGAGCAAACAGG